rnacentral:rRNA from 1 species
UACGUAGGGGGCAAGCGUUGUCCGGAUUCAUUGGGCGUAAAGAGCGUGUAGGCGGCCAGGUAGGUCGGUUGUGAAAACUCGAGGCUCAACCUCGAGACGUCGAUGGAAACCAUCUGGCUAGAGUCCGGAAGAGGAGAGUGGAAUUCCUGGUGUAGCGGUGAAAUGCGCAGAUAUCAGGAAGAACACCCGUGGCGAAGGCGGCUCUCUGGUACGUGACUGACGCUGAGACGCGAAAAGCGUGGGGAGCAAACAGG